rnacentral:rRNA from 1 species
GAUGAACGCUGGCGGCGUGCCUAAUACAUGCAAGUCGAGCGAACAGACGAGGAGCUUGCUCCUCUGACGUUAGCGGCGGACGGGUGAGUAACACGUGGAUAACCUACCUAUAAGACUGGGAUAACUUCGGGAAACCGGAGCUAAUACCGGAUAAUAUAUUGAACCGCAUGGUUCAAUAGUGAAAGACGGUUUUGCUGUCACUUAUAGAUGGAUCCGCGCCGCAUUAGCUAGUUGGUAAGGUAACGGCUUACCAAGGCAACGAUGCGUAGCCGACCUGAGAGGGUGAUCGGCCACACUGGAACUGAGACACGGGCCAGACUCCUACGGGAGGCAGCAGUAGGGAAUCUUCCGCAAUGGGCGGAAGCCUGACGGAGCAACGCCGCGUGAGUGAUGAAGGUCUUCGGAUCGUAAAACUCUGUUAUUAGGGAAGAACAAAUGUGUAAGUAACUAUGCACGUCUUGACGGUACCUAAUCAGAAAGCCACGGCUAACUACGUG